rnacentral:snRNA from 1 species
GUAUUUGUAAUUAAAAAUAUUGCCAUAAAAGAAAAUACCAGCAAUCAAAUCAGAGACACUCGGUGGAAGAGGACGGCCUUCCCAGAAUAGAUAUGGACCGGUCUUUAAUUGAGGGUAUAAAUGCAGCUGUAUUCCCCUGCUAGAACCACCAAACAAGCUCUCAAGAAACAAAGCAAAGGAAGGGAAGCCAGCAGGUGAGCACACAUCUUAAAUGCACAAAGACCUUGGUUUGAGCCCCAGGAUACCAUGU